AUUUAGAUGUUGUACUAAGUGAUGUGGUUUAGUGGGGAAACAUUGGUGGUAGAUGAAUGGUUGAACAAGAUGAUUGUGGAGGUCUUUUCCAGCCUGGGAGAUUCUAAGCUUCUGUGAUUCUGUGAUAAGUCAGUAAGACUGUGAGAUUCGAAAUGGCAAAUUUCUGUGCAUUAAUGAAAAUAAACCUGAACUUUUCUCGAUCACCUUGCUAUUGUGCAGUUCAAAGUUGGCAGCUGAAGAUAAACAAGCAAAUACCUGAUACAAUGAAGACAAAUAUCACCAAGCUUCUGCUUAGUAAUAAUCUUGUUUUUCUCCUACAAAUUUUAGAAAGCAGAUAUCAAAAUAAUAUAUCAGUAGUGCAUUCAAUAUGCUUGCAGUCAAGUCCCUGCUAAAAGGCUCUCAGGCAGAACAUAGAGGCAUGAUAUUGUACUGGGUCUCUGAGUUCUUCUUGAAUUGAAUGACUCCACUUCGAAGCUGAGAAUAAGGUGACCAUGGAUUUCAUCAAUGAAUUAGCAUGACAGACCCAACAAAAGCUACCUCAAGUACAGCUGGUCUGUUUCAGAAGUGGACUAAAGUACUCUUUUUCGUUUUAUGUCAUUGAAGAUAAUUAACUCCCUGGGACUUAUUUUCUUAAAUAGAGCAGAUGAAACGAGGACAUGAGACCCUAUUUCUUCCUGACAAUGGAAAAACUCCUUUUGACAGUCUUGGAGCUAAACACUGAUGCUGCCGAUGUCUAAACUUAGCUGAGAUGUAUAGCUCUCUCAUUCUGCCUAAAUUUGAGGUCUCUCUAAGUGUGCUUAGAUCUAACACAUGAGAAAUACAAACCUCUUCCCAAUAUGAAAUGCUGGACAUUCUCUUUCCAGAUAACACUGUGAGUAGUGUGGCUAUCUGUGAAAAUGAAUAGAAGGCUUGAUUGGAUUCUCACCUUUUUUUCUGGAAGAUUUUCAAAUGUUGAUUAAUCUCUUCUCAGAAUAGAACUCUACUCACUAGUAAGCAGAAUAAACUUCCUC
rnacentral:lncRNA from 7 species